UAUUGUCAUAAGGAAAAUGGAGGAUUCAAGGCCCUAGACUGAGGGAGGGAUGGUGUCCAAGGCUUAACACCCAUUCUGUAUCCUUCCUGCCUCAAACAUACAACCUGCCUGUUGCGCACUCAGCUAUUCUUCCAAGUCAUCUGUCUGUCUGUCUGUCUGUCUUCCUUCCUUCCCUCCUUUCUUUCUUAACUAAAAUUUUAAAUUAUUUUUUGACACAAGUUCUCAUGUAGUUUGGGCUGGCCUUGACUUGACUGUGUACCUGAGGAUGACCUUGAAUUUCUGAUUGCCCUGCCUCUCUCUCCGUAGGGCUGAGAUAGCAGGUGUGCCACAAAGCCUGUUUUAUACUAUGCUGGAAAUUGAACCCAGAGACUUAUACAAGGCAAGUACUUUACCAACUAAGCCAAUCUUGUCCCCAGCCAGGCAUUUCUAUACAAAGGGCCAAGACUUUGGUUUUAUAAAUAAGGAGGUAUAUAUAAAUUAUAUAUAUUUCUGAGCUGAGUAAUAAUCCACCAGAUACAAGUUUGCAUCAACUUCUGUGAAAUAUUUUUUUUCCUUUUUGUUGGGCAUUUUUAUGGUCUAAAUAUAGAAUGACCAAUGCCUCUAGAACAAACUUGACCUGGUCAGUGUUAUCAAGAAGCAGACUGUUUCUUACUUUCUUUGUAUUUCCUUACUUAUUUAAAUUUGUUAAAAUUGAUAUAUUGAUAUAUAAAACUUCUUUUGCCAGUGUUGGUGGCACACGCCUUUAAUCCCAGCACUUAGGAGGCAGAGGCAGGUGGAUUUCUGAAUUUGAGGGCAGGCUAGUCUACAGAGCAAGUUCCAGGUCAGCCAAGGCUAUAUAUAGAAACUCUGGCAUGAAAAACCAACCAAACCAAACCAAACCAGACCAGACCAGACCAGACCAAACCAAACCAAACCAGACUAAACCAAACCAAACCAGACCAGACCAGACCAGACCAGACCAAACUAAAACAAGAAAGCCUACUUCUUGUUGCUGGAUGUGGUGACUCACUCCUAAAAUCACAGCAGUCAGGAGGAGCUGAGGAGCAGGCUGUGAGUUAUGUCCAGCAGGCACUGCAUAGUGAGUGCCAGGAGGAAUUAUAUUAUAUCGUUAGACCCUGCUUCUCUGCUACUUCUCCCAAUAUUUUCUCUAAAAAUUUAGCUAUUAUAAAAAAUAUUUUUAAGAAAAAACCUUGCAAGACAGUCCAGCAGGUGAAAGCUUUGAAAAGUCAUGAAAUGCACAUUUCCCUUAGAAGCUCGUUCUGAAAGAGGCUCUGAUCAUGGCAUACAAGUGUUUGAAUGCUUUGAGUUUAGACACAUUAUAGUCCAACACUCACAGAAACUUGGAAUGUCUAGAUUUUGAAAUUGCUGCUGUCCCAUUGCCACGACUUUUGGGAAUCCUUCUAAAAUUUUCCUUGUAAGGGAAGAAAAUCCUGGGUGAAUAAAACAUCUCUCAGGAGAAAUAAUAAUUUAGGAAAAUACUGGGGCCAGGCAGCCUAACCUUGUGAGUAAAGGCACUAGGCAGUGUGACUCCUACCCUCUUAACUAACAUGGUAGCCUUGAACAGUCCUCGGUGUCUUUGGGCCUUGGCUGCUUCUUUAGUUUGUCAGGUAGGAUUUGAGGCAAUGAACAAAUGCGUUACUAGUCUUACCGCCGUCACAGAUACCCACAGGAAACAACCUACAGAGUGGUGGGAGUGGUGUAUCUGGGUUCAUGGUGUGCGGGAUAUGCUCUUAUCUCUGUGGGGUUGGCUCUGUGGUGGUGAGAGUGUGGAGCUGCUCACUCACCUGGGCAGAGCAGGAAGCAAAGGGAGAGAGAGGGCCAGAACAGUGGGUGGGUUAUAACCCAUGAGAUCCUUCCUAAUUACCCCCAAAGACCUCCUAAAACCUCCUCCACUAGACCCCCACCUCCUAAAAGUCCCACAAGCUUCUCAAACAUCAGCUGGGAGUCCAGUGUCCAAACAGAGGAGCCAGUGGGGGCAUUUACACUUAAACCAUAGUAUGGUGGUUUGAAUAUGCUUGGCCCAGCGAGCGGCACUAUUGGGGGGUGUGAUCUUGAUGGAGUGUGUGUGGCCUUGUUGGAGGAAGUGUGUCACUGUGGGGAUAGGCUUUGAGACCUUCCUCCUAGCUUGGAAGACAGUUGUCAUCUCCUGUCUGCCUUCUGAGCAAGAUGUAGAACUCUUAGCUCCUCCAGUGCCAUACCUGACUAGAUGCUGCCAUGUUUCCUGCCUUGAUGGAAAUGGACUAAACCUCUGAACUUAUAAGCCAGCCCCAAUUAAAUGUCCUUUAUAAGAGUUGCCUUGGCUGAGAAGCAUCUGAAAAAAUGUUGAACAUCCUUAAUCAUCAGGGAAAUGAAAAAAAAAAAACAACCCUGAGAGUCCAUCUCAUACCAGUUAGAAUGGCUAAAAUCAAAAAUUCAGGUGACAGCAGAUGCUGACGAGGAUGUGGAGAAAGAGGAACACUUCUCCAUUGCUGGUGGGAUUGCAAGCUGGUACAACCACUCUGGAAAUCAGUCUGGCAGUUCCUCAGAUAAUUGGACAUAGUACUACCGGAGGAUCCCGCAAUACCUCUCCUGGGCAUAUAUCCAGAAGAUGUCCCAACUGGUAAGAAGGGCACAUGCUCCACUAUGUUCAUAGCAGCCUUAUUUAUAUUAGCCAGAAGCUGGAAAGAACCCAGAUGUCCCUCAACAGAGGAAUGGAUACAGAAAAUGUGGUACAUUUACACAAUGGAGUACUACUCAGCAAUUAAAAACAAUGAAUUUAUGAAAUUCUUAGGCAAAUGGAUGGAUCUGGAAGAUAUCAUCCUGAGUGAGGUAACCCAAUCACAAAAGAACACACAUGAUAUGCACUCACUGAUAAGCGGAUAUUAGCCCAGAAACUUAGAAUACCCAAGAUACAAUUUGCAAAACACAUGAAACUCAAGAAGAAGGAAGACCAAAGUGUGGAUACUUCAUUCCUUCUUAGAAUGGGGAACAAAAUACCCAUGGAAGGAGUUACAGAGACAAAGUUUGGAGCUGAGAAAGAAGGAAAGACCAUCCAGAGACUGCCCCACCUGGGGAUCCAUCCCAUAUACAAUCACCAAAUCCAGACACUAUUGCAUAUGACAGAAAGCUUUUGCUAACAGGACCCUGAUAUAGCUAUCUCGUGUGAGUCUAUGCCAGGGCCUGGCAAAUACAGAAGUAGAUGCUCACAGUCAUCUAUUGGAUGGAAGACAGGGGCCCUAAUGAAGGAGCUAGAGAAAGUACCCAAGGAGCUGAAGGGGUCUGCAACCUUAUAGGAGGAACAACAAUAUGAACUAACCAGUACCCCCAGAGCUUGUGUCUCUAGUUGCAUAUGUAUCAAAAGAUGGCCUAGUCGGCCAUCAAUGGGAAGAGAGGCCCUUGGUCAUAUGCCCCAGUACAGGGGAACGCCAAGGCCAGGAAGUGGGAAUGGGUGGGUUGGGGAGCAGGGCGGGGGAGGGUAUAGGGGACUUCCGGGAUAGCAUUUGAAAUGUAAAUGAAGAAAAUAUCUAAUAAAAAAAGUGAAAUGGCUAAGCACCUCGACAAAAAAAAAAAAAGCUGUUACCUUGGUCAUAGUGUCUCUUCACAGCAAUGGAAACCCUAACCAAGGCACAUAGCAACAAGUCAAGUCAGGAUGGAGAAUACACUUUGGAACGAGAAUGAGCCUGUGUGUGUGUGUGUGUCACUAUGGGCUCUACUGCCAUAACAAAUAUCUAAGACAUAAUUGAGAAGCAAGGUCAUCACUGCCAAUGUAGGGCUUGGGGGAAGUUUCCACCCUGACUGUGAGGCCUAACUUCUGGCGGGGAAAAGAGGAGCCUAGGCAGCAGUGAGGAGGGAGAUGAAAUGGCAACGUCAUUUUUUUGCACUCAGGCUGUCACAGUGGGUUCAUCUCUGACUGCUAGAAGGCGUAGAAGCUCUGCUGGGGACUAUGACCUUCUUGCUCCAGCUUAGGAACAACUCCAUACUUAUUUUAUGGGAUGCAGGGUUUUUCUCCAGGUUUGGAGGAGGUACCAUCUUUCUUCUUUAGAGUCACAGGUAAGUGUAGAAUGUAGUUCCACACAGUAAGGCUUCUGCACACAGUGAGGCUCUUCCCUGAUACCCUCAGGCUCCACCUCAGCUGGACUUGCACACAAAGGUGUGUUAUAAUGGUAUCUUUAUUUUAGGAAGUGUGACAUCACCUCUUCCCUGCGAGGAGGAAAGUAUGUUGUUCUUCCUCAGUAGCUAAGCUGGGUUCAUGUCGGCUCACUUCACACAACAGAUGUGAACUCGCCUUGGGCUCCAGAAUGUGAUGUGAUGGUGUCUGCCCCUCUGGGCGAGAGCAGACUUAUAGGCGUUGGCGCUUCAACAAAUGUUACCUCAGAGGCUGCAAUGCUGACUUGGGAAAAUGGAAAACUCCUUCUAAAGGUGAUCAUGGUUGCUUUAAGUGGAGUUUAAAUGACAAGAUUGGGUGUUAUUUGUGUGUCAUGAAAUUGUUGUGGAACUGUUCAGUACCUUGCUGUGACCAAUGCAUUUUAUAAAAGAUUUUUAUUUUAUUUUUAAUUAUAUGUUAAUUACAGUGUGUUUUGGUGUAUGUGCGUAUGAGUGCAGUACACGUAGAGGCCAGAAGAGAGUGAGAUCCCUUGGAGCUAGAGUUAAGGUAGUUGUGAACCACCAGAUGUAAACAUUGGGAACCGAGUUGGGGUCCUCUAGU
rnacentral:lncRNA from 1 species